AUGUAUUUUCUUUUGCUUUGGGAUCUUUUGCGAAAGGUGCGCUCUUCAGCUAGUGCAAAUUAUACAAAUUAAGUGCUCGUCGAAUAUUUUAAAGCAAUUUUCUAAUCCUCGCUACAACAUAAAUUAUCCGAAUUGAAUUUAUUCUUAAUCUUGGAUAAGAUUUAGUCCGUUUAGUCGUUAUUCGUAAACGUUUGACAAAUAAAACGAAAGAGCAAAGAAAAUAUAAAGUAUCCUUAAAAAAUAUUAAAUAUUUGUUAGUUUAUUAAGAAACAACGUUUGGGCAGUUAUUGAUACAACAGCAAGUUGUAUGAAAUUUUUCUUUAACACGCAUGCAACAAAGUGACGGUUGGUUGCCCUAUUUUACGAUAUAACACCAGAAUUUCAAGUUUUAUAUUUUCCAAGAAAAACAGGAUCUCCUACAUAAACCGGCAUGUAAGGUAGCAAGUUAUUCAUACGUGCACACGACGUACAAAGUUUCCGAAUAAAUAUGUGAUCUAAGAAGAAUCGGUGGGCGUCUAUAGGUUAUGAUUUCGCACAUAGCUCGAACGAUUGUGUUUUAUACGAGAAACGAUGACUAAUACGUGACCAUACGAUCAUUUCCUUAUUGAUUGUCUUUAGAUCGGAGACGUGUAUAUCCGCAUAGAAGAUUUUAUUUCUAUUGGUGUCGAAUUUCUAGAAAAUUUUUAUUCGUCGUCGUUAUAUAAAAACACUUUUUUAAUGUCAUUUCUUACGUUUGCAAUGUUAUAGAAUGGAUCUUUUAACGAUUUAUGCCACGGCCGUAAAAUUAUACGCGUUAACGUGGGAUAUUCGCGGAUGAUCCGAUUUUCACGAUAUUAAUUGGCUAAUUAAAUUACAUGGUGCAUCAAGAGGUUUUCCAAAGUCAACGAUGCCUGUAAAAACGUCAGGACGUCAAUUACCAUGUCGACCCAGUUAUGCAGUCUUGUCUUCUGCUUGUUACAUUUCACGGCCGAUUAAAAUUAAGGAGCAAGGGUGAUAUCUAUUCCCAUUAUCUACAACAAAACCACGCAACUUUCACGAAGAGUCUAAACUAAAUUUUUAUACCUAAAAUAAUGGAAGUAACGUUGCUGUAGAUAUUAUCAAUUAUUUUUAACACACGGUAGGCGAUGUAAAAUAUUCCCAGUCAUUUUCGUAAGAACAGAAGGACUUCCUAGUAGAAAAUCCUAUUCAAGUACAAGAAACAAAUUCGUCUUUAUUCUCAACAGUUGCCAAAACACCAUCUCGCAUCAAUUUGUACCUAUGACUCAUUUCGCGUUAUAUAAAUUUAAAUCAUCCGUAUAAAUUCGCUAAUUCGCUAUUCUAAUAGCUAUUAUUUUUAGUUAUGAUUAAUAGCCCAAGUAGGUAUAAAAUUUGACGCAAAGCCUCGUAAUCGUAUCGCGCGUGACGAUCAUUCGCAUUUCGUUUCGGAUCGUUCGUUCUUUCUAGAUUCUUGUUAAUCACGCGUGAACAUUCAGGUGUUCUAAUUUGAACAGGCGUACCAGAGAGGCACGAAGGCCGCGGUUACUACGCAACUUUCUGUGUACGUCUGGUGGAACUGCGUGAUAUUUUUUUUUCGUGGAGUUAAAUCACGCAGGCAAAUGAUGCUGACCGCUAUUUUCACGCGUUGCACCGCGUCAUACGCACUGAACUGAAUGGACCGACGCGUCACGACGCCUUCUUAUUGUUCAUAAAUAGUCCUGCCUGCGGCUUCGCACUCGUCCACGAUCUCUUAUGAAUCAAACUAUGUGGAAUGUUUUCUCGAGAUCCAUCGAGUGACGAGGAGUGCAGUUGAUUUGCGCGGCAGCCAUAGCCACGGACGAAAACGUAGGAGGAAAACUGAAUCACGCUCUACUCGGCCAAACCGGGUGAAUAACAACCCUCGUCCGUAUCGAAUCGCGUGCAUGAAUAAUCUCCGCAGGAAAUUGGCGAAAAAUCCUAACGGAGGAUGCGAUUGAAUUUGAACGUGCGUCCGUGAAAAUUUCUAAACAUUUCCCCAUACCUAUAAAAGAAUCCCGUUACUCUUAUCCUUAUUAGAAAUUCCAGGCUUGAUUACCGGCGAAUGAGAUAAAUAAAUAGAGAACGUGCAACCAGGCAUCUCUUUGGCUGCACCUCGUGCAAAGAUCGAAAAUUUCAAAAUGGUUUAGCAGAGUGAACAAGAUGGUCGACAAAGACGAUCUCUUUUCAGUCUCCGAUCGACUUUUAGCCUGCAAUAGUCGUGAGAUGAAAAAAUCUACGAACAGCAGCGUUAAAAUGUAAACGAAAUUAAACGACGGUGAGGACGUAAAAGCACAUAGAAGAGAGCGGAGAAGACCGGUGUUGAUGACGAAGUGUGUCAAUGUCAAAUUGUUCGAGCCUCCAGACGAUAUUUCAGGCUUCUCUUACAGAGAACGAAUCGUCAAUCUUUUCGUCCGUGUUUCUCUCAAACGUUCACCGAAUUCUUAAGUUUCUCGUCGGUCUUGCGUGGGAGAACGUGGUUAACAUGACGUCACCUAUGUGGAGGUUUUACUGAUCGAUAAAACGCGUCACAAUCGUCGCUAAUAUGGAUUGGUCUUACGUCCAUUCGUUACGUAGCGAAUUGUCGCUGUACAUGUUGCUCAAUCCCGAGGUCAUUAUGUUGGAAGCGUCGUUUCGAUUUCACCAUUUUUGGACAAAUCCGUUAUACAACAGCAUCGAAUAGGGAUUACUGGGGAACUAAGAAAAUGAAAUUUUCAUAUAUAUAUAUAUAUAUAUAUAUAUAUAUAAUGUAUAUAUAAUGUGUAUAUAUAUAUAUAUAUACAUUGGAUUGUUAAUAGAAAAUUUUUACACUGACUCGUUUGGUAUCCCCUGAAAGAAGAGUCAUAAAGUUUCAGUAGCCUGUAUAACGUUAACUACGAUUAAAUGAAAUUUAUUUACUUUCGCUUUGAAGAGGAUUUUUUUACUCGAAUAAUAGGAAAUAUGUAUAGAAUCCUAAGAAUAGAUUAAAACAGGAAACGAGCACGUCUCGUAACUUUCCUUCGAAAAACGAUUUUUACCACGCAUUUAAAAGAGCCAAUUUCUUAAGCUUCCAGCUUAUGUCGAAAUUGAGUUACUCGUGCAAUACAAUUCGUUGAAUAAUUACAUUGUUAUGCCAGACAAGGAGACAGAAGCGAAACAGCUUGCCAGGCAAUUAUAUGUAGCGUGGCAUGCAGAAGAAAACAACUAAACGGAGGUUGUAGAAAAGAUAGUACAUACUAUACAUACACCUCUUCGACACCGCUGACUAUUAAUAGCUGGCAAAGUCCUACAGAGAGCCAUAUCCGAGGCCAGAUUCGAUCCAAGAAAUUCUGUAAUCGUUCGACCCUUUCGACCGUCAUUCUUCCACCAUUCAAUGUCGAGGGUACCGCGCGAAUUUUCUUCGCCUUUCUCCGCGCCAAUUUCCCCCGAUAUCAUAAAGAACCGGAGAACGGAAGCCAACGGAAACCAAAAGUUUCAAAGAUUGAUUGAAAAACUUUUGAGAAGCGAUAAACGACUCUGUGGGCGUAUCUUAAAUUUUGCAUAAACACAUCUAGAAAAUGGUCUGUCUCGUUAAUUUCCUAGUUUUUAGCACAACAAGGAUAAACUAAAGUUCCAUUACGUUAACUAAUGUUAAUUAAUGUUACACGAGCAAACAAAGAGAGGACCGUUCUUUGUUCUAGACGCUCGCGCGGCUGGAUUACAAAUAAUUUGUUGGAGUGGACAGUCGGUGUUGAUAACACAACCGGCAUGAACGAUUGAAUGAGGAGGUUAACUUGACUGGUGUCGUCGUACGACGACUUCGCAUCGCCACUACUGACUUGAGUACAAAUGGGGACUGAGGUUAACGCGCCAUGAUGUCACUCUCUGAUAUCAUAGUGUCCAUCUUUUAUUCAGUAAAAUUGCCGAGCCUUCGACCAGAUUGUCCCCCCCAAUUUCAAUCUCCACGAUAAUUCAAUAGCACGUGUAUAUCGUCGGCACGUGUGACGUGACAUACUGUAUAUCCUAUACACGAUACAUCUUGGAAGAAAAUGUCAAGGGAAAUUGUAAAUAAAACAACUAUAAUAUAACGCCAGACGAGUUUACCAUAUCAGGAAGGAUAAAUAUUAUAGCGCCGAAUUUUCAACCAUUUCUUUGCAAACUUGUGAAACUUGAUCCUAACCGGUUUGUUGUAACAUUCGCGCUACGUGGAUUUGCAAUACGAUCCGGCUGCAACUACUUAUAGCAUUCACGCACGUUUGUAUUUGCUAUAUACACGAUCUAUAGCUCAAAUGAAUUUUUAGUGCUUAAAUUCUCGGCGCUCUGUAUUUGCGCACAAACGUACCUAUUACAUCAGACAUCUAAAUAUUAUUAUUAAUGAAGCACGGUAGCAUAGAGGAUAACUUUUUUCUUUUUCUUUUAAACCGUUUAUUUAUAUAGAUCGCAUUAACAAUGUCAUAUUUGAUAUCGAUGGUCGAUGGUCAUCCUUCAUUUUGCUACACGUGCGUGAAAACAAUGUUAGUACACGCGAAUAAAUGUAGCCAUAUGGCCAAUGUCACUGCCACGAAUAAACUGACAAUAUGUAAUGCGAUGACAAGUGCCCGUAAUAUACUCAGCCGAUUGUGCAAGAGUAAUUUCUUUGUAAUUUGCUUUUCUUAGUACACUUUGAUAUUACAAUUUUUCCAUUGAAACCUUCCACACUGACAAGCAAAUAAGUCAUAAUUAAUAUUUCAUUCAGCUGUAUCUACUAAACAAUGACAAUGUAAAUAAGUCUGUGAGAAAUAUAAAUACAACGUUAUUACUUCUUA